UCUCUUCGAUUUGCCUGCGUAUUGGGAUAACUUUCAUCUUUAUGUCCAUGCCCGUCUACAGAUCAUUUCCAUAGAUAGGAACAUCCCUCACGAAUUGGAUUCGAACCAAUAUCAAGCUACUUGAUCGUUGACUUCCAAAAACACACUCUUAUAAAUACAAACAUUCCUUGCCAAGACCCAUAGACCCGAUCCUUUCCGUACCAAACAAACCCACCAAAAAAAAAAAAACAAUCUGUUUUGGUGGCUGUUUUCCUCAUGGAACUGCCACACCCUCAUGUAUCCAUCCAUACUCUUCCGACCGCCGCCACUUCAAGCAUCUCCCUUUGUCCUUUCAACCAAUCUUCAUAGCGCGCACUGUAGUUAACACCUUCAUCUCGCUGCUUGGCCAAUCUCCUCCCAACAGAGGCAUUUUCCACGUCGUCUCUUUUUUCAGUUUGUCUUUCAUCCAUGACCCAAAGGUACUUCUCUCUCUCACCUGUCCCCGGAGUUGACUAGGGGGCCAUCCGCGGAAGGUUGUCAUGCCGGAGGCCUCCACAUACAAGUUCAAGCGGAACUGGGAGAUGGACCAACACUGGCAGCAGAGUUGACUCAUCAGAUGUUACGUAUAGAAAAGCACAGGCGCAUUUUGUAAGUAGAUCAAGCAGGAAGGAAUCAAAACCAUGGAGCCCAGAGAUACCACGUUUGAAGGUAGAGAAAAGUCUCUUUGUUUUUCUUUUUUCGUUUUUUAUUUUUUAUAUUUCCUUUCUGGGCUAACUCUAUGGAGAUGAAUGGAGGGGAGACGAUGUCUUUCUUAAAGUGAGAAGUGUCAAACAUCGAAAUAUUUGUAAUUGCAAUCCUUGAAACUGAGAUGUAAUUAUUAUAAACUAAUACUUCUCUGGAGGAUGGUUUGAUAAAAAAAAAAAAGGUCUCCUCAUUUUUCAUAA